UGCUACAUGAGUGAUGCCAUAAUUAAAAACCAAAAGAUUCAUUUGUUAUGUUCCUAUUGACAUAAAGAAUUAUUGAGAGUUGUCAUGUAAAACAAAGACAUCUAGGAGUUCUACAACGUUUGACCAGUACAAUUACUAAUACUGUAUUCAUGUGUUUCAUCAGGUCCCUUUACACAGGUGUAUACAUCAAUAUACAAUCAAGCACCAUGCAGUCUGCAUUGAUAAUCAAGGCUUGAUUGUAUACACCUGUGGAAAGGGAUCUGAUGAAAUCCAGGAAUAGUCAGUUUGACUUUAGAGGCCUGUUAGUUGAUCACUACUAGAAUCUUAGCAGAAGUUGGAUAAUGUUCUCUAAUAAGUUGAUGUUCUCCAUAUGUCUUCCUAUCACUGCAAUUACAUUAUUCCAUACUGUCUAGCGGUCAGAAGCCGCAAUUACGAAGUUGUUCAGACCCAGGAUGCACGCUGCUCCACUGCCCUUUCUGCCCAGAGUACAAGGGUGACUAUGCCAGGGUGGAAACGCACAUGCAGAGCCAUUUGAAAACGGUGGUACAUUAUGGAGAAUAUGUGAUCUACAAAUGCAAUUUGGGCUGCAGAAAGGGCAGUCACCACCACUGUGGUUGUAGCCUCACCUUUCCCAGGAAGAGUAGCUUUGAAAUCUACAGGAUUGCACAUUUGUUCUCUGCCAACAAAAGUUGGAAAAAUGCAUGCUUGGUGCUUAAACACAGGCUAUGGGAGGUACUUGGUACAAGAUGUACAAUUUCCAAAGUAGCUCCCAUGGCACACGCACACACCAACACACACACACGCACACACCAACACACACACACAGGCCAAGAUUUUGUUUUACUUUUAUUGAUUUUAUCUUGCAUGGCCUGCAGAAGUUUCUCUUCUGUGUUUGUUCUACAACAAAGUUUUGGCGAAAUCUACAGGAUUGCGCAUUUGCACAUUUGUUCUCUAACAAAAGUUGGGAAAAUGCAUGCUUGGUGCUUAAACUGUUAUGAAACAUGAAAAAAGUUGAUCUCUUCUGGGUUUGUCCUAUAAUAAAGUUUAGGCUACUUUGCAAAUAAA